rnacentral:rRNA from 1 species
UACGUAGGUGGCGAGCGUUGUCCGGAUUUACUGGGCGUAAAGAGCGCGCAGGCGGUCGUUCAAGUCGCGUGUGAAAGCCCCCGGCUCAACUGGGGAGGGUCACGCGAUACUGAUCGACUCGAAGGCAGGAGAGGGAAGUGGAAUUCCAGGUGUAGCGGUGAAAUGCGUAGAUAUCUGGAGGAACACCGGUGGCGAAGGCGGCAUCCUGGACCGGUAUUGACGCUGAGGAGCGAAAGCCAGGGGAGCAAACGGG